rnacentral:rRNA from 1 species
UCCCUUACUGACGCUAAAGCUCGAAGGUGCGGGUAUCGAACAGGAUUAGAUACCCUGGUAGUCCGCACGGUAAACGAUGGAUGCCCGCUGUUUGCGAUAUAUUGUAAGCGGCCAAGCGAAAGCGUUAAGCAUCCCACCUGGGGAGUACGCCGGCAACGGUGAAACUCAAAGGAAUUGACGGGGGCCCGCACAAGCGGAGGAACAUGUGGUUUAAUUCGAUGAUACGCGAGGAACCUUACCCGGGCUUGAACUGCAGGAGAACGAUCCAGAGAUGGUGAGGCCCUUCGGGGCUCCUGUGGAGGUGCUGCAUGGUUGUCGUCAGCUCGUGCCGUGAGGUGUCGGCUUAAGUGCCAUAACGAGCGCAACCCCUUUCGCCAGUUGCCAUCAGGUGAUGCUGGGCACUCCGGCGACACUGCCACCGUAAGGUGUGAGGAAGGUGGGGAUGACGUCAAAUCAGCACGGCCCUUACGUCCGGGGCUACACACGUGUUACAAUGGGUGGUACAGAGAGCAGGGUGCACGCAAGUUCACCCGAAUCAAGAAAGCCAUCCUCAGUUCGGAUUGGGGUCUGCAACCCGACCCCAUGAAGCUGGAUUCGCUA